UACGGAGGUGGCAAGCGUUGCUCGGAAUCACUGGGCGUAAAGGGCGCGUAGGCGGGGAGGUAAGUCGGGUGUGAAAUCCCUCGGCCCAACUGAGGAACUGCGCCCGAGACUGCUUCUCUUGAGUCCCGGAGAGGAAGAUGGAAUUCCCGGUGUAGCGGUGAAAUGUGUAGAGAUCGGGAGGAACACCGGUGGCGAAGGCGGUCUUCUGGACGGUGACUGACGCUGAUGCACGAAGGCCAGGGGAGCAAACGGG
rnacentral:rRNA from 1 species